AAGUCGUAACAAGGUUUCCGUUGGUGAACCAGCGGAAGGAUCAUUACCAUAAUCCAAUAUGUAACAACAAACUUUGUGAAUUUGUAGAUUAAAUGUCUUUUGGAAUUAAUAUUCAUAUUAAUUCCAAAUGUAUUUUCUUCAUUGAAAAUACAUUAUUAUGAAAACUAUUAUUUUCAAAAUUAAUACAGAAUUAAAAAAAGAACAUUACCAAUGAUAAUUCAUUAUUGUUAUAAUGUUUCUUGAUUAAAAGUUUAAUAUAUUGACAACUUUUAACGGCGGAUCUCUUGGCUCGU
rnacentral:misc_RNA from 1 species